rnacentral:rRNA from 1 species
UAGGGAAUCUUCGGCAAUGGGGGGAACCCUGACCGAGCAACGCCGCGUGAGUGAAGAAGGUUUUCGGAUCGUAAAGCUCUGUUGUUAAGGAAGAACGAGCGUGAGAAUGGAAAGUUCAUGCUGUGACGGUACUUAACCAGAAAGGGACGGCUAACUACGUGCCAGCAGCCGCGGUAAUACGUAGGUCCCGAGCGUUGUCCGGAUUUAUUGGGCGUAAAGCGAGCGCAGGCGGUUAGAAAAGUCUGAAGUGAAAGGCAGUGGCUCAACCAUUAUAGGCUUUGGAAACUGUUUAACUUGAGUGCAGAAGGGGAGAGUGGAAUUCAAUGUGUAGCGGUGAAAUGCGUAGAUAUAUGGGGGAACACCGGUGGCGAAAACGGCUCUCUGGUCUGUAACUGACGCUGAGGCUCGAAAGCGUGGGGAGCGAACAGG